rnacentral:rRNA from 1 species
GACGAACGCUGGCGGCGUGCUUAACACAUGCAAGUCGAACGGAAAGACUCUGACUUUGCGGGUCGCUCGAGUGGUGAAGGGGUGUGUAACCCGUGAGUAAACUGACCCUGAAUUAGGGUUAACUACACGUAACUGGGGCUACUACCGGCUAGGAGCACUUGCAGCAUGGUGGGUGUUGGAAAGUUUCGGAGGUUGGGGAUGGUCUCGCGGCUUAUCAGCUUGUUGGUGGGGUAGUGGAUUACCAAGGCUAGGACCGGAAGCGGGCCUGAGAGGGUGGCCGGCCACAGUGGGACUGAGAUACGGCCCAGACUACUACGGGAGGCAGCAGUGGGGAAUAUUGCACAAUGGGCGGAAGCCUGAUGCAGCGACGCCGCGUGCGGGAUGACAGCCUUCGGGUUGUGAACCACUUUCGCCUGAGACGAAGCGUGAAUGACGGUAAUGUGUAAAGAAGCACCGGCUAACUACGUG